rnacentral:lncRNA from 1 species
UCAUCCUUAAAUACCUUUGUGUAAUUUCUACUAAAAUUACCGAUGUCUUCCAAAUGGUAGGGAAAUGAUAAGCGAGCGGCACCGAAUAACCGAGUAAGUCUUAUGAAGUCACGAGUAAGUAGCUUAACUCCCGUUUGGGCCUGAAUUCUAGCAUUUUGGUACGUCAAUUGUACGUAAUUAUUAGAUUUACUACCUGUACUGUGAAGCAAUUAACAUACGAACUAUAUCGCUCUGUCACAUUCAUUUGUUUCCCGUUUGUUUCUUUCUCACUGUUUCAGACUGCUUUGCCCUCUUUAAUCCAGGAUGAGUUGAAGAAGAAACGAGACGGAGUCGCAAAUGAGCUUUCUAAGGCUCGAUGCUCUUCUGCCUCAACAGAGAAAUCGAAAAGAAAAUUCCGAGUUGUUCAAAUGCCGGAGCGACCGUUCACGACCGAGGACAUAAGUAACACGCGCUGUUCCAGUUUAUGUAAAAACCGCAAAAGAGCAGAUCAUCCGGACUGCGUCGAAUUGUUCUCGAAGAGAAGUUCAGGCUCAGGUGAGGACGUUUUUUCCAAUUUUUUUCACAUUUGUUAGAUGCGGAAAACAGAAGAGUAGCAUUUUCAAGAACAUUUGGUCUCAUUCUGCUCACAAAUGAUUAUCUAACAAAUUGAAAGUAAGGAAUUUGUUCUUUGAGAAAAUUACUCAAGAAUAGAUUGUGCAAAGAUAGAUUAGCCGUUCUCCGGAUCGUUCUCUACUUCUCUAACAGUUACCUAAAUCAUACUCCAUUGUUCCUUUGCUUUGAUUAGAUCGCUGAAAUAUUUGUAAGUCUGUUAAAGGGUAAGCAGAGGUUUUUCUAGCGCUGAGUUCUCGAGGCGUCGCUGAGAUGCAGAAACUGACGAAUCCGUGUGGCGACUGUCUCUGACGCCGAGUACGAGGGCCGCUCCGAAAGUGACGCCUUCUCUUUUAUCGCAUUGGCCCACAACAUCAGUCGUCUUUUCGGCUCCAUCGCUGAUAAAAGCACAUAGCUAACGGCGGAGACUGCGUUGAAAACGAGCGUUUGGCAGCUGAGAAUUCUCAGUCAAGUAGCGGUCUUGACUCCUGUGCGUAGGUGAAACUAUGUUAUUUUUAGAUUAAAUUUAUAAAUUUCCA